GCGACUGUGGCUCUAUGGUAGAGUAGUCGUCUUGCGAUCGGAAGGUUGUAGGUUCGAUUCCAGCCACAUGUC
rnacentral:tRNA from 1 species